rnacentral:rRNA from 1 species
AUUGAACGCUGGCGGCAGGCCUAACACAUGCAAGUCGAGCGGAGCGGCGGACGGGUGAGUAAUGCCUAGGAAUCUGCAUGGUAGUAGGGGAUAACGUCGGGAGACGGACGCUAAUACCGCAUGCUAUCAGAUGCGCCUAGGUCGGUUUGGCUAGUUGGUGGGGUAAUGGACUACCAAGGCGACGAUCCGAAGCUGGGCUGAGAGGAUGAUCAAUCAAACUGGAACUGAGACACGGUCCAGAAUCCUACGGGAGGCAGCAGUGGGGAAUAUUGGACAAUGGGCGAAAGUCUGAUCCAGCAAAGCCGCGUGGGUGAAGAAGGUCUUCGGAUUGUAAAGCACUUGAAGUUGGGAGGCGUUACCAACAGAAUAAGCACCGGCUAACUACGUGCCAGCAGCCGCGGUAAUUC